rnacentral:tRNA from 1 species
GGGUUGAUGGUAUAGUGGUGAACACAGCUGCUUUACGAAGCAGCAGAACCCGGGUUCGAUUGCUGGUCAGCGCA